rnacentral:lncRNA from 1 species
GAGAAUAUCCCUCCCAUUCUAUCACAGACUCAUUUGAAAAAAAAGUGACUCUUCUGGUCCUAUAAUUCAAGGUGGCAUUGCAUGAAUGGAGACAGUCCAUCCCUAAGAUGACAUCAAAAUCAACCAUAUCAAGUUCUAUGAGAUCUGCCUCAGUAUCCCAGCUGAAAAUAGACAUAACACAAUUUAUAUACACCCUUUUAGCCACAAUAAAAUCUCCCACCAAGGAGGAAACAAAAAAAGGUUCAACAAUCACAUCAGGC